AAACCCUUCAUGACAUCUACAGAAUUCUGAGUUAGGAGGGGGAAACUCCCAGCCCAGAAUAAUUGCUCCCACAGGGAGCCUCUUUCUGCACCAGAAUGUAAUAGGUGGAUGAGAAUUUUCUAAAGACCAGUACCAAACCUCGCUGCAAAAUCAUAACUGUCUGCCUGCCCUGGGUGCUGAAGCCUGACAAUGGCUCCUACAGGACAGCUAGACGUUGGUAUGAGAAAUCCUUCUCGACUGUGAAAGCAGCUGCGGCCUGAAAGCAACGUAAAGGGGAAAAGCCAGAAAAGUCUCUUGAUUUUCCAUUAUUGACUCAAAACAAACCAAGAAAACCCGACUCUGAGCCAAACGAAAGCUGCCUGUGUACUAGGCGUCUAGCCCAGAGACUACUAGAUUACAGACUCUAGCCUUUGUCUUGCUAGAAAAUUCCUCCUGGGGCGUGAGAAGGUGGGACACUGGGGGUCCCCCCAUCAAGACUCUAACCUGACAGAAGCUUCUAGAAGCCCAUAGGAGCAGCAGGCAGGGGUCCCGGGGGGAGGCAGGCCAUCUAAUAGCUAAUGGGGUAUGGCCAAAGCCAAUGCAGGCAAUGGCCCACUGCAGGGAAGGUGUUUCUUACUGCCAUCAAGAGAAGGCUCAGCGCUGCCACACCCCACAACGUGGCUCAACCCUCUGCUCAGUUCCUGGUGGCUCACCUUGCACAGCAAAUCCACAGGCAACCCAAACUUUCCUCCCCCUUCCUUCAAUAGCGCCCCAUAUCUGGGGUCAGACAGCUCGCAGGCAGCUGUGUAGGAGCCAGAGCAGGUCUCCCUGCGGGAAACGGGAGGAACGGAGGUCUGCAGCCUGUGUUUUCAUGGGAUCCAUGAGGCAGCACAUCUGAAGAGCAAGAGCCGGCAGGCAUGGAUAGAGAACGGGCGCAAGCGGGAAGGGGCCGUCCAGACCAAAGUCGCGGUGGCCAAGUUAUAAACCCAGUGUAAUGAGUGAGCAGAGCCAGUGUACACGGGUUACCAUAAGUGAAUGGGAAGAGAAGCCUGAGAACUUCCCACUGGUGCAGAAGUAGGAAUUAAUGAGAGAGAAAAAAAAAAAAUGAGAGAAAAGAUAGGGCCAGAGGAGGUGUCCAGGGACCUGAUACAUGCACAACAGGAAUUUAAAAGCAAGGUCCUGAAGUAAAGAAAGUUUUCACUGUUCAGGUUAAAGAACAUCCUGGGCCAUCUUGGGAGCUCAUAGGGACAACUCCAGGCCUGUCUGCCUAGCUUCUGGCCCCCAGUGGGUCACCCCUUUAGCCUCUGUAAUUGAGGAGAAAGUCACGGAGAGACCGGGGAGUGAAUAAUAUAAAUGAUAUCAUAGGUCUCAGAUAACAUGACCCUGGGGGAUAAAUGCUUGCCCCUGGGCAGUAACCAGUGAGAUAAUAGGAGACACAGAGGUGUGGCACUCCCACUUGGGUGUGCAAAUGGCCACAGCUGCUGGCCUGUCCUCCACAGACAGACCAGCCUCACUGGUGGCCAAGCUGUUCCUGACUCCACAGUGCUGUUGCUGACAUCACGGACCUGUCACCUGGAUCAAAGUCGACAGGUGAUGUCCUCCUUCCCCCCCUCUGGACUGUGUGAAAGGCAGGACAGCUUCUUUGCUCUACUCUUCACUGGCCUAAGUCACAGGACAUCUGGUCUAAGUCUCACCACUUGAAUUGUGCAGUCCUCUGUUCCCCCCAACCUCUGCACUACUGGCUGAAGAACCGCACGCCAACACAGGGGGCUCACAGCUCUUCUCAAAGGGCUGCCUUCACCGGGGCCUCCAACCCAGCUGGCAAGGCUGGUGGGAUCCUGACUCCCUCAGGUCGGCUGAAGCCCAGGUCAGCGCCAAGAAGACGGCACCCAUCCUCAGGCAGUACUGUCACUCUCAAAAAUAAAGACAGACUCCUAUAAAGCAUCAAGGUGAGAAAAUAUAAAAGUUCCCUAGAAAGGAGAAAGAGGAUGAUCUGCCAAAGAUCUCUGGCAACCGUGGAGGGAAUGGGUUUCAUGGAACAAAGAUCCAAUACCCAGUGAAACCCUCCUUCACAGAGGAGGCCACAGGAAAACGUCCCCGUGCACAAGGCCAAAGUAAAAGCACUCAAGGAAAGGGCACACGUGGCACAAAACAGGGGCCGCGCUGGACUCAGUAGGACAGCGCUUAUUCUGAACCGUUAGGAAAAAGAUUAUACAGUAACACAAACGUUGGAAAUAACUGACCGAAAAGAGAAGUUUGACGGUAAGAAACUGGAGGAGGGGGCAGGGGGGAGGUAAAAAGUAAAAACCAUGCUGAGUUUCUCAUUUUUCAAAGUGAGGAAUCCAUGUUGUUUAACUUUCUCACAGAGGUAGAGACCACAAGAGAAAUACAGACCUUUUCUUCUUAGUUUAAAAGUAAUUCUACACCAAAAGUACCCUCGAACAUAGGAAACUAACCCUUGAACAUAGGAAACUUCACCAACUUUCCAGAAUGACAGAAAAAAAAAUUUAAGAGCCAGGAAGGUGGUACCGAAGCCAGGAAGCACCAGAUGAGGCAGCGCAUCAGAGGGCGAAGGUUCUGGUCAUCACGACAGGUGCAAUGGCUCUCCUAACGCUCAGGGGCCCUGCCUUUGGAACAGGUAAACUACAGCUAAAGAACAAAGUCAGAAGCCAGGAGUAAGCAAAGAUACACCAGGAAGAUGAGAAGUAAGAAAACAUUUAAUAGCAAAAUCAGUAGCAGAGCAAGUUGGAUUCAAGACCGAAAGCAUUAAUUAGGUCAAAAGGGGUUCCUGUAAGCUGUAAAAAGGUAAAAUACUCAAUAAAAAAAAAAUGUAACAAUCAUCAACCUACAACCCUCAAGCAACCUGGUAUGAAAAUGAGUAAAACAAAAAUCUGAGAACUGCAAAGCAGAAUUCAUAAAACUGCCUCUUUUCAUCCUAGAGAAAAUGUACAAAAAAUAGCCAAGGAGGCAGAAGACUGGAAUGAGACAAGAAACCUGAUCUAAGGUACAGCAAAGUAUGUACCCUAAAAAUAAAAAUUUAAAAAAAUACAAAUAAAAAUUUUAAAUUUUCCAAUAAAUGUUUAAUGUUUCACUUUAUUCCAUGAAAUCCUGACAAAAAUGUUUCUCAAUAGGCCACAAAGAAACAUCUCCAAACUAAGAAAAAUGAAAUUUAUACAGACAUUGUCUAACUACUCUAAGUCUCACCACUUGAAUCGUGUGGUCCUCUGUGGAAACUAAAGGCCAAAGAUUAACCAAGGAAAUUAACUAACCACAUCUAUCUGGAAAUUAGAAGAAUUGUUCUUAGUUUAUUACUUAGGUCAAAGAGCAAAUAACCACAACUUCUUAGGACAUGGGAAAGGCAGCAUUCAAAAAUACAUGAGCCAAAAUUCAUUAUUACUCCAUGAGAAAGGAAGGCGGAGAAAAAAAAAAAAGCUAACUAAGUUGCAAUUGACCAAGUUAAAAGAUGGCUGUCCAAAGCAGGUCAGGAAGGGAAGAGAAAGGAAUGAGUCAUAAAACUGGGGCUCUGGGAGUUAGACCAGCAGUGGAGCUGACAAUUACACGCUGAGUGUAUGAAAAGAUCAAAAUGGCUAAGAUUCUGGCAAAGCUCCUCCAUAUGGAAAGAGCAGACAUAGAGGCAAGAAUGGGAAAGGAAGCACAACUACAGACACGGAGGACAGGUUUUUUUUUUUUUUUUUUUUUCAGAUUUAAAAGAAGAAAGUAACUGGGUUCUAGUAAGUUCAAAAUUCUUCCAAGGACGAAUUUAACAUUAUAUGUUGGCGAUACUUCAAUUUUUAAAAAGAAAGAAAAUGAUAAAAAAAAAAACCCUUCCAGGAAAAUGUAGUAUAUUGACUUUAAGAGGGAUAAAGGAUAAAGUCAGGCUGAAACAAUCCCUUAGGAAAACCUGAAAAAUUAUCUGAGAAAUUCUCCGCCAAAGAAAUGGUAAGUUCUGACAGGAUUAUAGGACUUCUUUCAAUGUUCAAGGAACAGACAAGCCUCUCUGCUCUUUCUUUUUUUUUUUUUUUAACUAGGUUUUUAAUUAUAAUUCCAGUAUAGAUAAUAUCCGGUGUUAUAUUAAUUUCAGGUGCACGGUAUAGUGACUCGACAAUCCUAUACAUGAGCCAGUGCUCGUCACAACAAAUGUCCUCCUUAACCCUCAUUCCCUAAAUCCCCCAGCCCCCCGCCCUCUCCCCUCUGGUCACCAUCAGCUUGUUCUCUAUAGUUAAGAGUCUGUUCCUUGGUUUGACUUUUUUUUUUCCUCCUUUGCUCGUUCGUUUUGUUUCUUAAAUUCCACAUAUGAAUGAGAUCAUAUGGCAUUUGUCUUUCUCAGACUGACUUGUUUUGCUUAGCAUAAUACCCUCUAGCUCCAUCAGCUGCAAAAUUCCUCUGCUUUCUAAACUGUUCUAGAAAACAGAAAAAUGUGGAGAACUUCCCAAAUCACAAUCUCAAAAACGCUGAUCUCAAAACAUGGCAAAAGGAGUUUAAAAAAACAUACCGCUCAAUCCCCUAUUUUGAAUCUUUACAAAAUGCUAGUAAAAAAGUAACAACAUGCUGCUGCCAGUCUGUAUACUGUCCAUAUGCUGGUUCGCUGAAACCUCCUAACCACCCUAUGAGGUGCUACGAUUGUCCUUUUCCCAGUGAGUGGCAGCACUGGUACUCAGACCCAGGACACACCAGUGUCCUAGGGACCACGCUCUCACCACUUCUGUAAACUGCCUCCCCGUUUCAGUCCCGCAGCUUAUUACGGCAGGAAUCCACCCUGAUGACGUGGGGUAUGUGCCAGGGAUGCCACACUAGCUCCACACCAGGAAGUCUCUGCGUAAAAUUCAUCUAAGGAAAGAAAAACAUGAAUGGGGAAGAAGAGAUGAAUCCCCUAUACAGAAGAAUCACGAAGAGUGUAUACACAUACUCCUCACCAAGCAGAAAGCACAUAAGUCCCCACUCCGUAAGUGUGGGCUAGCCAGUGACCCCCUUCAGAGUCAAGUAUGGGAAGGAGUGAGGGAAGAGCAACUUUUUGGUGGAGAAACUAGACAAACGCUGCCUCAGGGAAGUGAUCAAGGUCAACACCAGCCAUGUGCAAGGUUCACAGCCUUACCCCUGACACGAUGUGUUGCAGGCGGCACUCGACCUCUGCGGUCUUCCUCCCGAUGACCUGUGACCCCAAUCUAACUCUGAGAAGAACAUUAGAAAAACUAAAACUGAAGGACUUUGUAUAAAAUACCUGGCCGGUCUGCCUCAAAAUUGUUAAGGUCAUUGAAAAGUAAGGAAGUCUGAGAAACUGUCACAGCCAAGAGGAGCCUAAGGAGACAGGACGACUAAAGGCAAUGGUGUAUCCUGGGUGGGAUCCUGGGAUGGAAAGAGAAUAUCGGGUAAAAGGUAAGGAAACUGGAAUAAAGCGUGGACU